ACGGGCUUGGCGGAAUCAGCGGGGAAAGAAGACCCUGUUGAGCUUGACUCUAGUCCGACUUUGUGAAGAGACAUGAGANGGUGUAGCAUAGGUGGGAGCGCGAGCGAUCUUGAAAUACCACUACUUUUAUCGUUUCUUUACUUAUUCAGUCGAGCGGAAAGCGGGGCGCAAGCCCCUAGCUUCUGGAAUUAAGCUCUCGACCUCGCUGCCGAGGGCGAUCCGCUCUGAAGACCGUGUCAGGCGGGGAGUUUGACUGGGGCGGUACAUCUGUCAAAAGGUAACGCAGGUGUCCUAAGGCGAGCUCAGCGAGGACGGAAACCUCGCGUAGAGUAAAAGGGCAAAAGCUCGCUUGAUUUUGAUUUUCAGUACGAAUACAGACCGUGAAAGCGUGGCCUAUCGAUCCUUUUGACUUUAGGAGUUUUAAGCAAGAGGUGUCAGAAAAGUUACCACAGGGAUA
rnacentral:rRNA from 1 species